ensembl:lncRNA novel transcript, antisense to CLYBL
GAGUGUGAACAACUGUGAGGCGAGGAAAGGCCGUGGGGAAAAACGCUCCUCCAGAGGGCUUCCAGAAGAAACAGUGGCUCCUGGGGAUCCUUGAGGUGGAUUAGCAAGAGGCUGCCUGGCUGACCCCAGCUCUCAGAAGGGCUCUCAGGGUGACCUGCUACGACUAUUGGGAGGUGGCAAAUAUAUAAGCAUUUUUAAGGGUAGUACUUUUCCAUCCUAUUCUUUGUCAAUUUUAUUUUCUUCAAAAAUCAACAAGGAAAAGAAAAAUAUAAUGUGGAAAAACCAGAAAACGAAGGAGAAGAAGGACGGCCAGCAGGACACUUAAUUUUUUAAAAAAGGCAGACUGAGGAUCGCUGGAGAACAGAGGCUGUUACAGCUAAGGGCCCCCCAGCAAGGACCAGGCCCCCGGGAGGUGGCUUCUCUUCGCAGCCUGUCGCGGUGUGCCACAGUUCCUCUGAAGAUGUGUAUCGUGGAGCAAGUGGCAGAGCCUGCGUCAUGUCACCUAGCUCACAAACACUGGGAGCUUCCGAUCUUCUAUAAUUAAAUGUUUUCCUCGAGCAAAUGCUAAUAAAACAAUGCCGUGGCUGGCACCGCAUUUGAUUUCCAUCGCGCUUUCCACCUUCUCCUCCUGCCAGCUCUUCACAUUGACUUUUUCCGCAGCUUCAUUCCUUCACUGGUGCCAGGCAGGCGCACUGCACAACCACUUGGGUUUUCUUCCCUCUUUUUGCGCCCGGUGAAUUUUCAUAAAGCAUUUAACGUGAGAACAAGCAGGUUAAUUUCCCGUGCCGUUGAGCCAGGCGCCCUGCAACACUGCCAUGUUUUGGCUUCUGAGUCAGAGGCCUUGGUCCCAGUGGCAAAAACUCUUGCCAGAGCCUUCUCUGUGCAGACACCAGGUGUGAUUUAGCAUAACAGAUUGUGUGGACGUUCAACGGCUUCUCUAAACCGUGCGUCAAAACGAAAUUGUAUCCUUCAUGCGAGAUGAAGAUGAAAGUCUCCUGGGCUGGAAGUUCUGCCAGGAAGGGCCUCUGGACAUACAGGAAGUGGGAAAAUCACCCCACCUUACAACAUAUGCCUAGUUUCAGGACCACUAACGUUCUCUUUCACAAUAUUAGUACCUGGUUAAAAUCCCCCAUCAUAUCACAACGCUGUUUUCCUCUGAUGGUAGGUAGGCAAUGAAGGAUUUUUAAAAAACAUAAAAAGAGGAUGGAAAAAAUGGAAUUGUACGGAAAUUUAAAACCUCAUUGAAUCCGGUCUUUGAUACCUAGUCAAUGGCUUGAACCAUGCAUGAAGCCCUGGUUGACAGUGACUUUGAAUGCCCACGCGCUAGGUGUCAGCUCUCAGGCUAUGGGGAAGACUUUCAGGGAAAAAGCCGAGCUUUGUGGCUGCCACAGUGUAGACCCGAGAUGAGAACAGCCUGUUUUCGAAGAUGGCAAGAUUAGUGUGCCUCAAGAGAAGGGCAGGCCCGAAGCUGAGACACAGGUCACCCCACAGGGAGAGUGACUGAAGUCACAAGAGGACACCGAAGAUGAUUUGAGGACAAGCUUAGCAAACACGACUGCCAGAAUCACCGGCCUUUUUAUCCAGACCACUGCCAGGGGGAUCUUAACACUGAGUGAUGUGCAGGCAGCUAACAGAGAGGACCAAUGGUGUCCCAAUGGUGUGCCAACACCAGGGGCUUGGGGACAAAAUACAUGUGUUCCAACGUUCAAAAUCACCUGAUAACGAUGAUGUCAAUAUAUACACAGUCCUCUUCUAACUUUUCAAAGGGCUUUCAUGCCUGUGAUCUCAUUUGCCCUCACAACAGUCCUGCAGUGUGGACAGCACAGAUUUUAUUAUCCACAUCUGCCUGAAGAACAGAGAGGUUAGGAGACUUCUCUGGAAUCCAGACAACUAGGCAGCACUUGAGGUGAGGCAGAACUCCCAUCUUGGGCUCCCAAUCUUGCAUUUGUCUGCAGAACCCUUCCUUACACCCUCGAGGGUCGGUGAGUUACCCGAUAGCC